CGCUGACGCCCCCCCGGACCCCCCCUGUUUCCACAUGUGCCGCCCGUCGCCGGGGGGGCAGCGGCUGCUGGCGGAGCUGCGGGCCCCCCCCGCCCUGCGCCCCACGCGCCGCCCCACGGCGCUGACCACCGUCUUCCGCGGCCCCCCCCCCCCCAGCCGCCGCGAGGCCCCGGAGCCGGGGGGCGGGGGGGGGUCGCAGCCGGGGGGCCCCCCCCGACCUGAGCCGCCCUCGGCCGGACCCAGGGACCCAGGCGUCCGGGUGACCCCCAACCCGGGGGGCCCAGGCGUCCGGGUGACCCCCUGUAAUGGGGGCCCAGGCGUCCGGGUGACCCCCAACCCCGGGGGCCCAGGCGUCCGGGUGACCCCCUGUAAUGGGGGCCCAGGCGUCCGGGUGACCCCCAACCCCGGGGGCCCAGGCGCCCGGGUGUUCUCCCGCACCGUGGACCCAGGCGUCCGGGAGUCCCCCCACCCCGGGGGCCCAGGCGUCCGGGCCCCCCCCCCAUCCUUGGGGACCCCCCUGACAACCCCCGGCAGGAGCCGGGACAAUAAAGCGCUUGAUUGACA